rnacentral:rRNA from 1 species
UGGGGAAUCUUGGACAAUGGGGGCAACCCUGAUCCAGCGAUGCCGCGUGGGUGAAGAAGGCCUUCGGGUUGUAAAGCCCUUUAGGUUGGGACGAAGGUAGCUAUCGGAUAAUGGUAGUUGCUUGACGGUACCGACAGAAUAAGCACCGGCAAACUCUGUGCCAGCAGCCGCGGUAAUACAGAGGGUGCGAGCGUUAAUCGGAAUUACUGGGCGUAAAGGGCGCGUAGGCGGUAAAUUGGGUGUGAUGUGAAAGCCCUGGGCUUAACCUAGGAAGUGCAUCGCAAACUAACUUACUGGAGUAGAUGAGAGGGUGGCGGAAUUUCCGGUGUAGCGGUGAAAUGCGUAGAGAUCGGAAGGAACGUCGAUGGCGAAGGCAGCCACCUGGCAUCAUACUGACGCUGAGGCGCGAAAGCGUGGGGAGCGAACAGG